ensembl:lncRNA
GCUGUCUAGCUGUGUGUGGUCCUCAGGGCAAACAUACAAAAUUCCACGUCCUACAAGUUUCAUUCAUCGUCUUCAGCCUCCUUCCUUGCGAGAUGAGCAAACAGUGGGAAAGCAAACAACACUUAGGUGCAAAGAACUCAGAAGAAUGCGCUAGUCGUAGUUAUAGUUGAACUAGAACAUAUAGUCAUAGUUGUUCAAGAUUUCUUUAAGUCUGUAAAAAACAUGAUAAUAUUUUCUUUGGAUAGGUUGUACACGUAAAAGACUGUAAAAAGCUUGUAGGCUACUGGUUCCUGUAAUUUGUGAUCUAUUCGUGUCUCGCAGGGGGCGUGACUAACUGUGAGCUACGCUGGUUGUUGGCUGGGGGGAAAUAGACUAGAAUAGAAUUUCAUCUACAGCGAUGACGUCAUUCCGAAAUCAACGAACAGUUAGGCUACUUUGUCGCGUGUGGUGGGGACACUUCGUGAGAAACUCCAGUAGCCUAUUCAGAUUCAAAGGUAUUGAUAUGGAGACAGACAAUGUUGAGGCUGCUCCCAGUCCUCAGCUCCUGUUUCUGGGACAGAAGUCCACUAAACGCCUGCUGGAGGUUUAUGUGAAACGCAGUCUCAGCCUCAACGAUUCUGCAGCCAGGGGGCAACGGGUCAAACCUCGAAAAUGGAUAAUAGUGGACAACAAAGGCAACCGCAUCAGGAAAGCAUCUAGUGACAGCUCAACACAUCGUCUGUCGCGUGAAAUAUCACAAACUGACCAACCUAAGGAGCCAAGUUCAGACACAACCAGUGACUCUCAUCAAACAGAAUCUAACCAAAGGGAAAGAAAGCCUGGGACUCAUAGAAUUACCAAAAAACCAUCUAUACUGAGGAGCUUUUUAAGACUGUUCUCCAGGAAGAAUUAUGAAGUUCCAAACAGUUCAGUGCCAGACACUCCUGUGUCCAGUGGGUCUUUGGACAGCUGCUUUGAAGCAGAGCUGUGUCCCCCUGUCCCUAAGAUGUCCAGCGAAGACAAGGAAGGUAACACACUGUGUCCAACGAAGUCCAUCAAGAAGAGGCUCUCACUGAAGAAGCUCUCCUUCAGAUCUGAUUCAGUCAAAAGACAUACCAGCCUUGCUACUGCUGAUGUGGUGCGAGUACCAGAUGCGAUUGUCUGUGUGGAGCCUUCAAACACAUACUUUGAGAAAGUAUCUGAGGAGUUGGAGCGCAUUGUGAAAGAGCUGAAAGAAAGCCCAACAGAGGAUGAGGCACAUUGUGCUGCAACGCUAACUGAUCAGAGGCCUGCUAAAGACUCAGAGGAUGACAUUGUUGAGAGGAUGGUCAAUAUACUAAAACAACAAGGAGAUGAGAUUGAUGAGAAGAUCAGGAGGAACAGUAGUAUGAGUUCCUUCUUUCAGAAGCUCACCUACAACAACUUCCAGCUACUUGCCGAUCGCUAUGUGGCUGACAUCCCUGAUCCGCUACCUCAGAGGACCGCCACUCCCCCACAGCUUGUGAAGCUGGCCUUCACUCUGGAUUUCACGGCCAAGGUGGCUGGACUAUCUAGCCAAGCCGUUGGCCGCAUCAUGGGGUUUGGGAACCAGUACAUACAAAACCGCUUUACCCAGAUGACAAGUGUCAAUUGCCAGGCAUCUCAGAACAUGGAGGAUCUCGACCUGGUGGAUUAAGACUAAAACUUGUGAAUCAUGAUACCAACUACCCUUCUACUGCAAUGCUCAUGCCUUUGGAUAUUGCCUGAUAUUUAGGUAUACAUAACAGAUGUGAAGGUGCCAAAUAGUCUCGGUGUGUCCUGAAAUGCUGUAUAAUAGCAUUUAGAUAUUACCUGAUAUUUAGGUAUGCAUUACAAAUGUGAAUGUGCCAAAUAGUUUUUGUGUUGUCAAAUACUGUUUUUACAGUUGCCUUGAUGUUGCCCUCUGUCAGGACUCCGGCCUGGAUUCCUGACCUUUGGCUUCCCUGAUGAAAAGUUUGUUCAUUGUUCUGUUAUGUUUUUGUUUUGGCUCUGUCAUGUGUUUCUGUUUACAUUUUGUCUGCCAUGUUGUUCCAUAUGUUCUUGUCUCCACCCCUAACCUGUCAUGUCACCUCUUGUCAUUGGUAGUUUCCCCCUAUUUGCUGUGGUUACCUGUGUCUCAUUGAGUGUCUCGUUAUGUGUCAUGUUGGUCUGUUGCUACUUGUUUUUGUUCCCGUUGGUGUAUUUGUUGGCGUUGACUUUUUUCUCCAUCAGCUCCUUAUGUUUGAUUUUGCCUCCAUGAUUUUUGUUACCUUGGAUUUACCUUUUUGUAAGUAAAUCUAACUUUUGUUCUAUUCCUGCCAUCCUGUGUCGUGCCUUUGGGUCCUCUCCCCUGUGAAACCGUGACACCCUCACCAUAAUUUUAUUACUUAAUGUUUAAUUGGGAAACAUGGGAAAAUAAUACUGAGGAUUGCUUUGAAAAACCAUGGAAUUUAAAAAGGUUAUCAAACAGGUUUGGACUAAUUCAGGGUGUAUUCCCAUGCCUUGUGUGUACAGCAUAUGCAAUAUUGUCCUGUGUUCAUAUAUUUCUAUUUAUGGUGGGAACAAUCUGGUCCUGUUCCCAGUCCUCAAAUUCUAGAUGGUGGGUAAACUACAAAAAACAGAGACACUGUUACAACGUUGUGAUGUUUUCAUGCAACACUUUUUUUAAACGUUUAAAAAAGUAUAUAGGAGAGCUAAUGUGUAUGUUAAAACACUCAUUCAGAUUAUUAUUGAGUGUCUUGUCACAGGCCAAACAUGUUGGCAAAACCGCCACAGUUUGUCUUCUGUUUUCCAAAUAUCGUAGAGAGGCAUGGAAAUAGAAAAUAGCAAUCAAUUACUAGAAAUCCCAAGUGUGAAGUGCCCAUUCCCAGUCAAGUGGUGAGGCAUUUUAGCACAGGAGACACAAAGAGGGGGUUUGUUGUCAUAAUGCAAAACUAGUGUCAUAGGACUUACCACACAGCCUGUUCUUAAUAUGAUCUGACACAGGCAAACAGUGUUAAGUGGAACUGUGACAUUCAAGCAAUUCAUUUAAGAGCAAAACAUCUUAUUUAGCCAAAUAUAACUUAGAAAAGGAUAACUGUUUGACUUCAAAACAGUGCACAAGAUCAUGUUUUAUUUUAUGACCAGAUUGCAUGUGCACAAUGCUAACUUAACCUGUAAAACUGUAUUAUGUGCAUCGUGUGUACCUAACCUACUGUAGCAAUACUCCUUUAUCACGUCAUAUACAAAUGUUUUCUCACACACUUCAGUCACCUGCAUAAAAUAAAGUACCAAUGUCACAUAAUUUAAAAUGUUGCAGACACAAUGUUAAUAGAUGAACAGGAGGCUACUCUACUGUGAGUACGAGUUAAAGCCAAUCGGGAUGGUUAUCAGACAACUUUAUAUGUGAGGUCAGGUACACUGAUUACUCUGCUGAUAUUUCUGAUUAGCCACCAGCUAUAGUCCAAAACAUACAUGUCAGGUUUAUUCUAAAUAGCUUGUAAGGGCUACUCAAGUAUGAGCUGGAGGGUGCAAACAUGACGGUCACCACUGGUGACAGAAUCUGUCUGAUGAUGCGAGGCAGAGGAUAACAGUGCCACCUUCAGGACAGAAAUGCCACGGUGUCCACGGGAGACCUCAGUAGAAUUCUCAUACUCGGUGUUCACCUCCAGAGAUGGGAGCAGAGAGAGGAAGAGCAGGAGCCUGUUGGCAGUAAAACAGUUGCUAACCUCAUCCUGGAUGCUUAGCUUACGGCAGUGUAAAGUAGUGUGUAACAGCAGACUUUUAAAACAGGUAAUGGCUUUUCUCUCACCUGUUUCUAAGGUUUUGUUUCACGGUUGAUAGAAUAAAGUUGUUGACAAAGAACACAAUUUGCUUCAGGUCUUGCCAGAGCCAAAACACUGCCAUUGGAGCAAAGAUGAUCCAACGCAGAAA